CCCAAAUAUUAAUGAGUCUGCAACCCAACUAAUCAAGUUCCAUGGGAGCUAUCAGCAGUAUAACAGAGAUGAACGUGGUGCAAAAUCCUACUCUUUUAUGCUUCGAACUAAGAACCCUUGUGGCAAGGUCUCAAACAAACUGUACUUGACCAUGGAUGAUCUUGCUGAUCAGUUUGGAAUUGGAACUCUUCGUUUGACAACUAGGCAGACAUUUCAGCUACAUGGUGUUCUAAAGCAGAACCUCAAGACUGUAAUGAGGACCAUCAUUCAUAGCAUGGCUUCAACUCUUGGUGCAUGUGGUGAUCUCAACAGGAAUGUUCUGGGCCCUGCUGCUCCAUUUGCGAGAAAAGAUUACCAAUUUGCACAGAAAACUGCUGAGAACAUUGCUGCGCUUCUAACUCCUCAAUCUGGGUUCUACUAUGAUAUGUGGGUGGA
rnacentral:misc_RNA from 1 species